rnacentral:rRNA from 1 species
CAGCCGCCGCGGUAAUACGUAGGUGGCAAGCGUUGUCCGGAACCAUUGGGCGUAAAGGGCUCGCAGGCGGUUUCUUAAGUCUGAUGUGAAAGCCCCCGGCUCAACCGGGGAGGGUCAUUGGAAACUGGGAAACUUGAGUGCAGAAGAGGAGAGUGGAAUUCCACGUGUAGCGGUGAAAUGCGUAGAGAUGUGGAGGAACACCAGUGGCGAAGGCGACUCUCUGGUCUGUAACUGACGCUGAGGAGCGAAAGCGUGGGGAGCGAACAGGAUUAGAUACCCCCGUAGUCCCUGUCUCUUAUAC